rnacentral:piRNA from 1 species
UGGCAUGGGUACCUGGAACUGCUGCUGCC